UACGUAGGGUCCGAGCGUUGUCCGGAAUUACUGGGCGUAAAGAGCUCGUAGGUGGUUUGUCGCGUUGUCCGUGAAAACUCACAGCUUAACUGUGGGCGUGCGGGCGAUACGGGCGGACUGGAGUACUGCAGGGGAGACUGGAAUUCCUGGUGUAGCGGUGGAAUGCGCAGAUAUCAGGAGGAACACCGGUGGCGAAGGCGGGUCUCUGGGCAGUAACUGACGCUGAGGAGCGAAAGCGUGGGGAGCGAACAGG
rnacentral:rRNA from 1 species